rnacentral:rRNA from 1 species
GAUGAACGCUGGCGGCGUGCCUAAUACAUGCAAGUCGAGCGAACGGACGAGAAGCUUGCUUCUCUGAUGUUAGCGGCGGACGGGUGAGUAACACGUGGAUAACCUACCUAUAAGACUGGGAUAACUUCGGGAAACCGGAGCUAAUACCGGAUAAUAUUUUGAACCGCAUGGUUCAAAAGUGAAAGACGGUCUUGCUGUCACUUAUAGAUGGAUCCGCGCUGCAUUAGCUAGUUGGUAAGGUAACGGCUUACCAAGGCAACGAUGCAUAGCCGACCUGAGAGGGUGAUCGGCCACACUGGAACUGAGACACGGUCCAGACUCCUACGGGAGGCAGCAGUAGGGAAUCUUCCGCAAAGGGCGAAAGCCUGACGGAGCAACGCCGCGUGAGUGAUGAAGGUCUUCGGAUCGUAAAACUCUGUUAUUAGUGAAGAACAUAUGUGUAAGUAACUGUGCACAUCUUGACGGUACCUAAUCAGAAAGCCACGGCUAACUACGUG